UCCUGGUUAACCCAGGCAGUCUCAUUAGAGUUCCCACCUUAAAUGUUGGCAACUAAUGAUAAGGGUUGCGCUCGUUGCUGGACUUAACCAAACACCUCACGGCACGAGCUGACGACAGCCAUGCAGCACCUGUGUACCGGCCCCGAAGGGAGAUAUCAUUUCUGAUAUUGUCCAGUACAUGUCAAAUCUGGGUAAGGUUCUUCGCGUUGCAUCGAAUUAAACCACAUGCUCCACUGCUUGUGCGGGUCCCCGUCAAUUCUUUUGAGUUUCAGCCUUGCGACUGUACUCCCCAGGCGGUAUACUUAACGCGUUUGCUACGGCACAACCGGGGUUGAGUCCAGUUACACCAAGUAUACAUAGUUUACGGCAAGGACUAC
rnacentral:misc_RNA from 1 species